rnacentral:rRNA from 1 species
GAUGAACGCUGGCGGCGUGCCUAAUACAUGCAAGUCGAGCGAACGGACGAGAAGCUUGCUUCUCUGAUGUUAGCGGCGGACGGGUGAGUAACACGUGGAUAACCUACCUAUAAGACUGGGAUAACUUCGGGAAACCGGAGCUAAUACCGGAUAAUAUUUUGAACCACAUGGUUCAAAAGUGAAAGACGGUCUUGCUGUCACUUAUAGAUGGAUCCGCGCUGCAUUAGCUAGUUGGUAAGGUAACGGCUUACCAAGGCAACGAUGCAUAGCCGAACUGAGAGGGUGAUCGGCCACACUGGAACUGAGACACGGUCCAGACUCCUACGGGAGGCAGCAGUAGGGAAUCUUCCGCAAUGGGCGAAAGCCUGACGGAGCAACGCCGCGUGAGUGAUGAAGGUCUUCGGAUCGUAAAACUCUGUUAUUAGGGAAGAACAUAUGUGUAAGUAACUGUGCACAUCUUGACGGUACCUAAUCAGAAAGCCACGGCUAACUACGUG